CCUAGGGGAGGCAGCAGUGAGGAAUAUUGGUCAAUGGCCGAGAGGCUGAACCAGCCAAGUCGCGUGAGGGAAGAAUGUCCUAUGGAUUGUAAACCUCUUUUGUCAGGGAGCAAAGUCACCCACGUGUGGGUGUUGGAGAGUACCUGAAGAAAAAGCAUCGGCUAACUCCGUGCCAGCAGCCGCGGUAAUACGGGGGAUGCAAGCGUUAUCCGGAUUUAUUGGGUUUAAAGGGUGCGUAGGCUGUGAGGUAAGUCAGCGGUGAAAUGCCCCCGCUCAACGGGGUGAAGUGCCAUUGAUACUGCCUUGCUGGAAUGCGGAUGCCGUGGGAGGAAUGUGUGGUGUAGCGGUGAAAUGCAUAGAUAUCACGCAGAACCCCGAUUGCGAAGGCAGCAUACCGGUGCACAACUGACGCUCAGGCACGAAAGCGUGGGUAUCGAACAGGAUUAGAUACCCGGGUAGUC
rnacentral:rRNA from 1 species